CAUCUUUAUAUUAAACAUAGUAGAAGUGCAUACGUAUAUUGACAUAGUAGCAGUAGAAGUACAUGCAUAUAUUAGUUAACAUAGUAGCAGUAGAAUAGCAUAGAAGUAAAACUAAUCCCAUAAGUGCAUCAUACCAACUAUUAUAAUAGCAAUGUAGUCGUUUGCAUGCAUGUGAGUUUUCAUCAACAGGACAAGACCCCUCUGACGGUGUGAGUGUCCUCUGACAACUGCUGCAUGUGUGAAUGCUUCCUGCUUCCAGAGGAGCUCCCACCAUUGCACCUUGACAUCCACCCAUUUGUGACUGGAAAGGAUACCGUUCGAGCCCUAAUUACGAUUACAAUAGGGCUUUUGCACUGGUCAGUGCUCGAGCCCUAAUAAAGUAUAAUACAUUAAUAAAACCUCUGAAAAUCAUUUAAUCACUUACAUAAAAACAAAUGCUAAAAAGUCCAGCGCUUAAGCUUGGUGACGUAGACGUCAUGACGUGCCCCAUUCGCGGCCAAAGGGGUGAAGUUAUGAGAGGUCUAUGGUGCAGUCAGCAACACAAGACCAGCAAAGGUAUCAAGACAAGCACGGCAAGUUAUAUGGACGACAAUACAUCGGUAAGUAGAGCACUUGCAAUUUUUAAACUAAUAGCGACCCCGUCUUCCUUCAAAUACGCUGGGUGUUGUUUUUUUUUUAUGUCACUGCCAUACUGUUGUGUGUAAGCUAACUUUAGCUAUGUUUGCUAGCCACCAAAUUGCUCAGCUAACAUGGUUCGUUGGGCGAACAUACUUUAACAGGUAACGGACCAUCGAACCGGAAAAGUUGAGCUUUCACCGCGCUCUCUUUCUCUCUGUGUGUAUGCCGUGUUUUGCUUGGUUUUACUUUGUGUUUUUGUAACAUGACGUGAUGUCGAUAUGCUCCGAUGGGAAACUCUUGUGGGAACAGCCGAGCUACUUCCGGAGCUCAUUACAAAUAUAAUACAAGACUAUUCAGCAUUCGUUUUCUACCGCUCACCCUCACGAAGGUCGCGGGGGGUGCUGGAGUCUAUCCCAGCUGUCUGUAGGCGAGAGGCGGGGUACACCCUGGACUGGUGGCCAGCCAAUCACAGGGCACAUAUAGACAAACAACCAUUCACACUCACAUUCAUACCUAUGGACAAUUUGGAGUGGCCAAUUAACCUAGCAUGUUUUUGGAAUGGGGGAGGAAACCGGAGUACCCGGAGAAAACCCACGCAUGCACGGGGAGAACAUGCAAACUGUACACAUAGAUGGCCAACAGUAUUCAUUAAAAUUAUUUAUUUAUGGUUUCAUAUACAAAAUAUUAAUUCUAAUUAUGAAUUACUGCAUGUUUUCCUGUAAUUAUAUUUGGAGAUAUAAUUAAUGUCAAGGUGCAUUUUUGGCAGGCAAGUGGUUAGCGUCCAGACCUCACAGCUAAAAGAUGUGAGGAUGAGCAAUCGAAAAUGAAUGCAUGAAUGAAUGUGCAUUAUAAUUCAUUCUUUAGAACUGUGGAUUUAAAACACAAACCAAAAACGAUGUACAUGAAAUUAGACAGCACUUUCAAAAACAAACCAUUGUAACACUGUUUAUGCUCCUUUUUAAGGUGGCGGCCCGUGGCCUGGCAAUGUAGGCGCUGCACAUUGGAGGAUACUUCAGAAGGGGAGCUUCUCAAGCAUUACCAAGUCGAGCACAGUAUUUAUGGAUGUGGCUGAGCUGAACCAAAACCAACUAAUCACCAAUUAAAGAAGAGAGACAGCCCAGUCAUUAAGGACUUGAUGUGGAGAACUUUUGCACAUAGAGGAACAUACGACAUACAAAUGAGCAUCAGUGACAUGAAGCACAGGUGGCCUACCUUGUUUAAUGUCUCACAGGUUGGCGCAGAGUUUCUAAUGCUCACAAAACAGAAGGGAGGCAAAAGGACAUUGCAGUAAUUGAACUUACGCAUCUGUAUCCCUAAGGAGAAGCUUACACAAGUGCAGCUUCAUCUUGGAAUGCCAAACAAGAAACUACUGCAGGAGGUUGAGACACGAUGGAACAGCACAUACUUAAUGCUGCAAUGAUUGGUCGAAUUAAGGGAGCCAGUUGGAGCAGCAUCCGCAGGGCUCCAACACGACAGACCACUCCUGACAUCUGAUGAAUUCACCAUUGUUGGAGGGUGCCUUUCCCUGCUGUCUCCGUUUUAUGAUGCCACGGCUGAGCUGUCAGCAGAGAAACAUGUGCCUCUAAAGUUGUCCCCCUCUUGAAAAUGCUUGAGCAAACUCUUCAGGAGGAAGUGACAAAGCCGGCCUCAGUAGUUGCACGUGAAAUGGGAGAGCAACUCAUAUGGCUCCUCCGGGAGAAGCUCCACACUUUACAAUCAAUGAGCAUCAUGUCCCUAGCUACACUCCUGGACCCGCGAUUUAAAGUGAUAGGCUUCUUCAGCCCAAAUAAGGCAUCAGAAGCGAUCAAGCGUCUGACCUCAGAGUGUGCCACGUUGAUAAGGUCCAAACAGGACAGACAGGAAACUCCCCAAGCAUCUACUUCUCAUGAUGACACCGGAGGAAGCAAACUGUGGCUUCGUUUUGACACGAGUGUAAAGGAGGCACAGAAGACUCAAAACGUGACAGCAGAUGCCACGGUAGAGGUCCAGCGCUACAUAUCGGAGCCAAAUCUGAGCAGGAUGGAAAAUCCUUGGACUACUGGGAAAGACAAAAAACCCUGUACCCCAAUUUAUACAUGUUGGCUUUAACCUAUUUAUGCACGCCUGCAUCCUCUGUGUGUUAGAAUAAAAUGGAGAUAGAAUGAAUAUAGUAUUAGUUAUCACCCUUAUAUGACACCGUGCCAUGCGAAAGAAUUUUCUCAAAGGCCGGAGAGGUUGUAUCAAAAAAGAGGAAUCGCCUCAAACCACAAAUUGUUGAAAAACUAUUACUUUUCAAUAAAAUGUCCAACGUCUUGUCCAAGUUACACAAGCAUACAUCUUUAGCACUUUAACUGUCCUCUGCCUGUAUGAGGCCAUGCCAGGUAACAUAAAACCAUGAUGAAGCAAGCCAUAUCACAUGAUGCUGGAAGCAUUUAUUGACAUGAAAACA